rnacentral:snoRNA from 1 species
UUGGCUGCGAUGAUUAUAAAAAAUUCCUCGUUCUGAAUGCUAUAGCCAUGGCAUGAUAGACUCUUUUACACCCAUAGAAUAUGAGCACC